AAUUUGGCUCGUUCGAUGAUGUUCAGACUUUAGAUCUGCCGACUUUAGGCACAUUCUGGGAAGCUCACUUCCUCCCAUUCAAUCCAACAGACAAAAAGUAUAUCUCUAACAUACAUAGAUCCUUCUGGUGCUCCAUUGACAGUUGCUAAGGAAACAGGAAUAUGACUCGGGAUGGGCACAAAUAUGCACCCUUCUUCAUCUUUGCUCAAUAACCAUACGGAUGAUCUUUACCCUUCAUUUUACUUAGCACUAAACUAAAUAAUUUAUUAAUGUUUUGGACAUAGUAAGGUUGCUUUAAAUAUUUUGAUAUCUUUUUU